rnacentral:RNase_P_RNA from 1 species
AGAGUAGGCGCAGGCGGUUGCAGAUCAGUCAUAGUCACUGGUUUGAGGAAAGUCCGGACUCCCGAAAGGCCAAACUUGCUGGAUAACGUCCAGUGCGAGCGAUCGUGAGGAUAGUGCCACAGAAAGAUACCGCCAAAACAAUUUUAGAUUUUAGAUUUUAAAUUUUGGAUUGAAUCCAAAAUCCAAAAUCCAAAAUUGUUUGGUAAGGGUGCAAAGGUGCGGUAAGAGCGCACCAGCAGCAUCGAGAGGUGCUGGCUCGGUAAACCCCGGUUGGGAGCAAGGCGAUAGGAACUAUGGUUGGUCUUUUACCAGUUCCGCUCAAUGAGAGCCGCUAGAGGCGUUUGGUAACAGGCGUCCCAGAUAGAUAACUGCCCUCGCAAGAGAACAGAACCCGGCUUAUGUCCUGCUCUUUCC